UACGGGGGGGGCAAGCGUUGUUCGGAAUUACUGGGCGUAAAGGGCUCGUAGGCGGCUAACUAAGUCAGACGUGAAAUCCCUCGGCUUAACCGGGGAACUGCGUCUGAUACUGGAUGGCUUGAGUUUGGGAGAGGGAUGCGGAAUUCCAGGUGUAGCGGUGAAAUGCGUAGAUAUCUGGAGGAACACCGGUGGCGAAGGCGGCAUCCUGGACCAACACUGGCGCUGAGUGAGCGAAAGCCAGGGGAGCAAACGGG
rnacentral:rRNA from 1 species